rnacentral:rRNA from 1 species
CAAACUGGGAUUAGAUACCCCACUAUGCCUAGCCGUAAACAAUGAUAAUGUACUACCCCCAUUACCCGCCCGGGUACUACAAGCAUCAGCUUGAAACCCAAAGGACUUGGCGGUGCUUAAAAUCCACCUAGAGGAGCCUGUUCUAGAACCGAUAACCCCCGUUCAACCUCACCCUCUCUUGUCAUUCCCGCCUAUAUACCGCCGUCGUCAGCUUACCCUGUGAAGGUUUAAUAGUAAGCAAAAUUGGCACACCCCAAAACGUCAGGUCGAGGUGUAGCGUAUGAGGGGGGAAGAAAUGGGCUACAUUCCCUAGCAAAGUGUAUACGAAUAGUACAUUGAAACCUGUACUUGAAGGAGGAUUUAGUAGUAAGCAAAAAAUAGAGCGUUAUGCUGAAACUGGCCCUAAAGCGCGCACACACCGCCCGUCACCUUUGAGC